UUUAAUGUUACUGAAGACAAACUCCACGAGAAAACAAGUUUAGUGACCGUGAGGAGUUCUUGGAGACGGAAGAAGAAGACAUCUCUGCUUCUGGAACCUGGAGGACACACUUGACAGUCGACUGUUCUCUUCACCUGGAGGAGGAGGACACCUGGAGCAGCAGGUUCACUGUUUGUCCUGAUGGUGGCGCUGAAAGCAAAGCUGACCAUGAUGGACUGAGCAACAGAGAAGGUUCAUCUCCUGAGGAGCAUAGAUGUGUGCAGCAUCAGAGCGGUACGUCCAGGGAAUCGCCCUGUACACCAUCCUGGUGAUGCCCGCCUGCUGGCAUCGAUGUGCCAGCACCUCGCCCACGGCCUGACUCGCCGCCACGCAGCUGGUGGAAGCCAGCUCCUUCUUCAGCGCCC